rnacentral:lncRNA from 1 species
AUCAGGCAUAAAUAUUCUGACGGUUAAUUGUAGACAUCUACUUGACUGGAUUAAGAGACACACAUAGCUGGUCAAACAAGAUUUCAGCCAUGAAUCAGGCAUAAAUAUUCUGAUGGUUAAUUGUAGACAUCUACUUGAUUGGAUUGAGAGACACACAUAGCUGGUCAAACACGAUUUCAGCCAUGAAUCAGGCAUAAAUAUUCUGAUGGUUAAUUGUAGACAUCUACUUGACUGGAUUGAGAGACACACAUAGCUGGUCAAACACGAUUUCAGCCAUGAAUCAGGCAUAAAUAUUCUGAUGGUUAAUUUUAGACAUCUACUUGACUGGAUUAAGGGACACACACAGCUGGUCAAACACAAUUUCAGCCAUGAAUCAGGCAUAAAUAUUCUGACAGUUAAUUUUAGACAUCUACUUGACUGGAUUAAGAGACACACAUAGCUGGUCAAACACGAUUUCAGCCGUGAAGCAGGCAUAAAUAUUCUGAUGGUUAAUUGUAGACAUCUACUUGACUGGAUUGAGAGACACACAUAGCUGGUCAAACACGAUUUCAGCCAUGAAUCAGGCGUAAAUAUUCUGAUGGUUAAUUGUAGACAUCUACUUGAGUGGAUUGAGAGACACACAUAGCUGGUC